rnacentral:sRNA from 1 species
UCCCCAUUGGACAAAGGAACCAAGCCUAGAACCAAAACUGUUCUUAGCUUGUUUGAUGAGGAAGAGGAUAAAAUGGAAGAUCAAAACACUAUCCAGGCUCCACAGAAAGAAGUAGGAAAGGGCCGCGAUCCUGAUGCCCGCCCCAAGAGCACAGGUGUCUUCCAGGAUGAAGAGCUGCUUUUCAGCCACAAGCUCCAAAAGGACAAUGACCCAGAUGUUGACCUUUUUGCUGGCACCAAAAAAACCAAGCUGUUAGAGCCAAGUGUUGGGAGCCUGUUUGGGGAUGAUGAAGAUGAUGAUCUUUUCAGCUCUGCCAAGUCCCAGCCUUUGGUACAAGAGAAAAAGAGAGUAGUGAAAAAAGACCACUCUGUUGACUCUUUCAAAAACCAGAAACAUCCUGAAUCCAUUCAAGGUAGUAAAGAAAAAGGCAUAUGGAAGCCGGAAACACCUCAGGUUAGAAAUCCUCUUUAAGGAUUUUCAGCUCUUGUUUGCAUCCCAGUACAGAGAAAUUCCAUUAUGCAGACCCACAGUUAUUUAGACUUGUCUGCAUUAAGGAGGAAACAGCAACCAGGGCUACCGCUUUGUCUUCACUGCACUCCCCACAAGUCAUCUCCCCUCUCCUCGCUCCACACGCCAGAGUUUCAUGAAUCUAUACUUUAAUAGUUAGUGUUUUUUGAUGCCAUGCCAGAUUUGACUCUGAAGUGGAGUUAAGGUAGGAUGAAGAAUCUUCUUCCCACUAAAGAAUUUAUUUCUCCCUCUGGAUUUCCUUGGAAUAGAAUUAAAAU